GCCAAAUCCUCAGCAUCUCUGACUGUUAGCAAUCAGAAUGCUUUUUAUAUGGUGUCUUUCUUUGGAAACGCACAAACCAUCUUGCCACAGACAUUACCUCAUUUGCUUCCCAGCCUAACGAGUGCUUUAUGGCUGAGAGCUGGUGGAGGAAGCAAGUGAGGUGGGAGAGAUGAAGAAACUGAGGCACGGGGGAGAGACCGGUUGCAGCAUUUCCAGCAAGUUCCUGUGAGCAGUGCUUAGGUUUUCUCAUUCCUAACCUCCUGCCCUUUCAUUGGGUUUUGGGCAUUAGCUAAUGAAUUUAAAUGAAACAAUUGCUGUCUCUUCCAAGAGCCGCACAGAGGAACCUGGGGAGGUGACGAGCAGAUCGUUAAUUAAAUGUGCACAUGUGGCCAAGUGGGAAAUUGGCGGCAAAAACACCAGAGAGGCAGGCGCAUGAUACCCAGAUUUCCAAUCAUUGAACUCAAGAACCACAUGUUCAUUACCUUGAUAACACUGAUCAUUGGUCUGAUGGGUGAGUUAAAGCUACAUCUUUGUUUUUCCUUAUCUGCUACAUCCCAUUGCUGAUUUCUGGGUGAGGUUCAGUCAUGUUCUACAUGUGAGAAGGUUAGCACCUCUGUUUUUGUUGUGUUGCUUAGCAUAAUUUUUUGAUAUGUUAGUGUAGUGUUUUGUCUGGUAAGAUGAUGCAUAAGGAUUAUGAUUAGUUUUUCGUUCUUUAGGAAAAUUGUUUCUUUUAUUUAAAGUAAUCUUUGGUUUAUAAAUGUUGAUAUUUUGCAAAAAGGUUUUCUGAUAAUAAUAUAUGUUCACUAAAGAAAAUCUAGAAACUACAAAGGAAUAUGAAACAUGAAAAAUGCAUAUUUCCUUACCCUAGUGAGAAUAAUUAUUAAAAUUGUUUUCUAUUUCUUGCUAGGUUUUCUCAAUGCAUGAGUAUGUCUAUAUGUGCGUAUAACUACAGAAUUCAAGUUCUCUGUAUACAUCAUUUAAACCUACUCAUUUGCUUCAUAUAACAUGCAAUAUUUCUUGUAAUUAAAUAUUCUUCUAAAACAUGAUUUUUUAAUGGUGCAGAGUCUAAACAUAUGGCUGUUGCCAAAUUUAUUUAAUUAUUUUCUCUAUUUUGAGUAUUUAGGUUGUUUACAAUUUUAUAUUGUAAACAAUACUGUAAUAUGAAUCUUUGAUUUUUAAA
rnacentral:lncRNA from 12 species